rnacentral:lncRNA from 1 species
GGUCACUUUACAUAAUUCCAUAUUUCUCAAAGGCUGUUUUUUAAAAAAACUCUUUUUUCUUUAUUCUGGUCUGAUUGGGUUAGUUCAAAGGACUAGUCUUCAAGCUCUGAAAUUCUUUUUUCUGCUUGGUACUAUUAAUGAAAUUUUUAAUUGUAUUUUGAAAUUCCUUAAGUGAGUUUUUCAAUUCCGGAAGCUCUGACUGAUCUCUUUUUAAGAUGUUUAUCUCUUCCUUCAUUUCCUGGAUUGCUUUAGAAGUUUGUGUUGGUUUUCAACUUCGUCUUGGAUCUCAUUGAGCUUCCUUGCAAUCUAUGCCUUGAUUCUUUAUCUGUCGUUUCUGAGUUUCCAUUUUGGUUGGGGUGUAUUGCUGCAGAGCUAGUGCAAUCUUUUGGUGGUAUCAUUACUUGAAGAUUUUGCCAGAUGGACCUGCACAAGCACGAGUGCUGAGAGAGAAUCCAGUAGGUGGCUACCAAGUGCCUAGAGGCAUGCCUAGGUAUGGAGCUGGGAAACCACCUUGCCUCCAAGUCCUCAGCAUAGGGCUGGGGGACAGCCUAAGCUUCUAAUCCAGGAGAAUGGGCCCACUAGAUGCCUGGAGAUCUGCCUGGGCAUGGAGUGGAGAGGGUUUCCCUGCACCAGGAUCUCUGCACAGGACAGGUGCAGUGGAUCAGUCUGCUGAUCCAGGUGAGGAGGUAUUCUAAAUGCCUGGAGAGCUGCCUGGGCAUGGAGUGAGAGGGCCUCCCUGUACCAGGGCCUCUGUGCAGGAUAAAUGGGGUGUCAGGCUGCUGAUCCAGAUGAGGGGUGGCUCUGAACAUCUGGAGAUCUGCUUAGGUGUGAAGUGGAAAGAGUCCUGCUGCACCACACUCUGUGUCCAGGAAUGGUGGGGUGGUUCAGGCUGGACCCCACACUCUGUGUCCAGGAAUGGUGGGGUGGCUCAGGCCGGACCCCACACUCUGUGUCCAGGAAUGGUGGGGUAGCUCAGGCUGGACCCCACACUCUGUGUCCAGGAAUGGUGGGGUGGCUCAGGCUGGACCCCACACUCUGUGUCCAGGAAUGAUGGGGUGGCUCAGGCUGGACCCCACACUCUGUGUCCAGGAAUGAUAGGGUGGCUCAGGCUGGACCCCACACUCUGUCCAGGAGUGGUGGGUGGCUCAGGCUGCUGGUCCAGGGUCCUACACAUGCCUGGAUUUCUGCCUGGGGGUGGAGCAGAGAGGGUCCCACUGCACCAUAAUAUCAGGACAGCAGGCUGGGGCACACGCAGAGCAGUUCCAGGUCACCAAGCUGGACCUGGCUGCAAGUCUUACCACCCAGGAGAAGCUACAGAUGUAGCUGCUCUCCUGCUGCCUCAGGCUUGCAACAGAGGAGAGCAAAGUUCCAGCGCCUACUGCUGAGGUGUGUUCCACAAUUCUGACUGUGGAGGUCCCUACCCCAUCCCAGAGCAGACACUGCAAACCUUGACUGAAGACUAAAAUGCGAGCCGCCAAGGAACAACUAACUUUGUGCGUACCUGGAUUCAAAAUGGUAUCCUGCACUUGGUUUCCGGGUCUGGGAAAAGGUUUGCAGCUUUUCCCAGUGUCUGUCCCUCACAGCGCUCCAAGCCUCUCCCCAGGUUACCUCCAGAGCUUGGUAGAAACAAAAUGCUCUCCCUUGGCCUGUGUUGCUCCAAUGCCCAGUGGAAAGGUGAGUCACAGAGGGAGGCUCCCGGCAUUUCUCUCGUACUGAGGCUUCGCUCACUUUCAUCUGGCAGAUGCCAUCACAGGGACUGUUUGCCGGGUUCUCCUCCUGGGGAUCUGGGUUGUCCUUUGCGAUUCUGGUGGACUCCUGAUUUCCUUCUUGGAUUAAAGCUCACAGAGUUGAUCUUUAUGUACCAUCUUGCUAUUUCCAAGUGGCAGAGGCAUGCUGAAAACCUCUGAUCUACCACCUUGGGGAAAACAACACCAACAACAAAAAGUUCAGGUUAAUUUGUUACAAACUAACGGUGUUAGAUGAUUUUGU